GACGAACGCUGGCGGCGUGCUUAACACAUGCAAGUCGAACGAUGAACCCGGAGCUUGCUCUGGGGGAUUAGUGGCGAACGGGUGAGUAACACGUGAGUAACCUGCCCUGGACUCUGGGAUAAGCGUUGGAAACGACGUCUAAUACCGGAUAGGACCUUGGAUCGCAUGAUCUGGGGUGGAAAGUUUUUUCGGUCUGGGAUGGACUCGCGGCCUAUCAGCUUGUUGGUGAGGUAAUGGCUCACCAAGGCGUCGACGGGUAGCCGGCCUGAGAGGGUGACCGGCCACACUGGGACUGAGACACGGCCCAGACUCCGACGGGAGGCAGCAGUGGGGAAUAUUGCACAAUGGGCGAAAGCCUGAUGCAGCAACGCCGCGUGCGGGAUGACGGCCUUCGGGUUGUAAACCGCUUUUAGUAGGGAAGAAGGGCUUCGGCUUGACGGUACCUGCAGAAAAAGGACCGGCUAACUACGUG
rnacentral:rRNA from 1 species